rnacentral:rRNA from 1 species
AACGAACGCUGGCGGCAGGCUUAACACAUGCAAGUCGAACGCCCCGCAAGGGGAGUGGCAGACGGGUGAGUAACACGUGGGAACGUACCCUUUGGUUCGGAAUAACUUGGGGAAACUCAAGCUAAUACCGGAUAAGCCCUUAUGGGGAAAGGUUUACUGCCGAAGGAUCGGCCCGCGUCUGAUUAGCUAGUUGGUGAGGUAAUGGCUCACCAAGGCGACGAUCAGUAGCUGGUCUGAGAGGAUGAUCAGCCACACUGGGACUGAGACGCGGCCCAGACUCCUACGGGAAGCAGCAGUGGGGAAUAUGGGACAAUGGGGGCAACCCUGAUCAAGCCAUGCCGCGUGAGUGAUGAAGGCCUUAGGGUUGUAAAGCUCUUUUACCCGGGACGAUGAUGACUGUACCGGGAGAAUAAGCCCCGGCUAACUUCGUGCCAGCCGCCGCCGUAA